AUCGCUUCCUCAGCCUUUUGGCUAAGAUUUACGUGUAGUAUCUCUUCUUAUCACUGUAGUAUCUGAUUCCGUCCUCUAUCCGAGGGACAAUAUAUUAAGUGAAAUAUUUGGAGCAGGGAGUCAGAAUAGGGGGCUUGCUUCCAUCUGCUUCAACGCAACAACCUGGUAUUGCAGUACUUCCAGGGAAUGGUUCACAAAAC
rnacentral:snRNA from 1 species